UGCCAGCAGCCGCGGUAAUACGGAGGGUGCGAGCGUUAAUCGGAAUUACUGGGCGUAAAGCGCGCGUAGGCGGUUAAUUAAGUCAGAUGUGAAAUCCCAGGGCUCAACCUUGGAACUGCAUUUGAUACUGAUUAACUAGAGUUUUGUAGAGGGUGGUAGAAUUUCAGGUGUAGCGGUGAAAUGCGUAGAGAUCUGAAGGAAUACCAGUGGCGAAGGCGGCCACCUGGACAAAGACUGACGCUGAGGCACGAAAGCAUAGGUAGCAAACAGGAUUAGAUA
rnacentral:rRNA from 1 species